rnacentral:rRNA from 1 species
AUGCGGCCGAUCCGAGGCAUCGGCGAGGAGGAGGACGAGGGGAUGUCGUCCGCGCCGGCGCCAGGUGGGGCCUUCGACCGCUACGUCCAGUGCGGUGGCGCGGUGGCGGUGCUGGCCUCAAGCGGCAACACGGUUUUCAAGAGUGGACAUCUCUUCAUAUCGUCCAAAGGACUUGGAUGGAAAUCAUGGAAAAAACGCUGGUUCAUCCUCACACGAACAUCAUUAGUUUUCUUCAAGAGUGAUCCUAAUACCUUGCCCCAGAGAAGUGGUGAAGUGAGUGCUACUCUUGGUGGGAUUGAUUUAAACAAUUCUGGCAGUGUGGUAGUCAGAGAAGACAAAAAAUUGUUGACUGUCCUUUUCCCAGAUGGUCGUGAUGGUCGUGCCUUCACCCUUAAGGCAGAAACUUCUGAAGAUUUAUUUGAGUGGAAAGCAGCAUUAGAAGAAGCUCUUGCACAGGCUCCAAAUGCAGCUCUUGUGAUGGGGCACAAUGGGAUAUUUCGCAAUGACACUUGUGAUGCAUAUGAAACAACGGCUCCAAAUUGGCGAGAGAAAAGGCCAGUCAAGUCACUAGUUGUUGGCAGGCCAAUUCUGCUUGCGCUCGAAGAUAUUGAUGGCCGCCCUUCUUUUCUAGAAAAAGCUCUGCGUUAUCUUGAGAAACAUGGGAUAAGGGUGGAAGGAAUUUUGCGCCAGGCUGCCGAUGUGGAGGAGGUUGAUAGGAGGCUAUGUGAAUAUGAACAAGGAAGAACCGAGUUUGCACCAGGCGAGGAUGCACAUAUUAUUGGUGACUGUGUGAAGCAUGUUCUUCGUGAGCUACCAUCUUCGCCAGUGCCUGCUUCUUGUUGUACAGUUUUAUUGGAAGCUUUUCGCUUGGAGACCAAGGAAGCUCGGAUAAAUGCUAUGCGUUCAGCUAUAUCUGAGACAUUUCCUGAGCCUAAUCGGCGCUUGUUACAGAGAAUCUUGAAAAUGAUGUAUAUUGUUGCUUCUCAUACCAUGGAGAAUCGGAUGACCGCAUCAGCAGUUGCUGCCUGUAUGGCCCCUCUCUUGUUGCGUCCGCUUUUGGCUGGGGAGUGUGAGAUGGAUGACGUAUUUGAUAUGGAUGGUGAUGAUUCUGCCCAGCUUCUUGCUGCUGCAAAUGCUGCAAACAGCGGUCAGGGCAUUGUUGCAACUCUCUUGGAGGAAUACGAGAUUAUAUUUGAUGAUGACCGUCUUGUCAGAUCUUCCCCAUCACCUGGGUCUCAGAUUGAAGACAGUGGCAGUGAAGUAUCAACUGAUGAUGUAAAUAUGGACACAAAAGAUAAUGGAUUUCAUGAUGCAGAAAAUGAUGUAGAUCAAGAAAUGGACGAUGACAAUGGUGCAGAGCGUAUACUUAGUGGAAAAUUGAGUGAGAGCAGUGGGUAUGCUGGGAGCGACCUAUAUGAUUACAAGGUUCAUGCUGAUGAUUCAGAUGCUGAUUGCUCUGUUGAUGAUAAAGGACUGGAAGAAGAGACAGAUUUAAGCAAAGUUCCAAAAAUUCAUUCAUCUGAAAAUGUUUCAAAAAAUAUGGAAAUGCCUCUGAGUGAAAAGAAUCCUUCCAACCCAACAUCCGGUCAUGAAACUCCAUUGUCUAUGGGAGAGAUCCUUUCUUCUUUGGAUCCUGGAAUUACUUUACCUAGUAACAGUUCGGAAUAUUCUGCAGACAGACACUCGAACAAAACUAAUGGAUCUCACUCACAUGUGAAGCGCAGUAACUUUUGGGGGCGUAAUAGUGCAAGAAAGAGUCAGCAUUCAGAAUCAGUCGACUCAUCUGGUGAAGAGGAGCUUGCGAUUCAAAGGCUUGAAAUUGCGAAGAAUGAUUUGCAGAACAGAAUUGCCAAAGAGGCUCGGGGUAAUGCAGUUUUACAGGCGAGUUUAGAAAGAAGAAAGCAAGCACUACGUGAACGCCGUUUGGUCCUGGAACAGGAUGUGUCCAGAUUGCAAGAGCAGCUACAAGCUGAGAGAGAUCUUAGAUCUGCACUGGAGGUUGGGUUGAGCAUGUCUUCUGGACAGUUUUCAAGUCCACGUGCUAUGGACUCAAAGACAAGGGCUGAGCUUGAGGAGAUUGCUCUCGCUGAAGCUGACGUUGUGAGGUUAAAACAGAAGGUGGCUGAACUUCACCUCCUACUCAAUCAACAACGCCAACAACAAUAUGGCCCAUCUCUUGAUGCAAAUGAUCGUUAUCACUGUAAUCCUGGCCAUUUUUCACAGCAAAACUUUGUUCAACCAGGAUUUGACAUGAACCUUGCCUUUUGCAAUCAAGAGAAGCACAGAAAUGAGGAGAGCAGCUCGGUGGAUGCAUCUCAAUGGAGGAACAUCAAACAGCAUGUGCUACCUUAUGGUUCUUCAAGGCCACUAACCCGCAAGCUUUCCCUAGACGCAUCUUCAAGUGAUUCAAGAGGCAUGGAGGCAUCAACAAGCAUGUCAUCAGAGAGCACUUCUGUGGUAAUCAAUGUUCCCAAGUUAGCCGAGGGUGUUGGAUAUGGGAGGCAGCCAAUGGUGGCAUCUUCCACUUUGGUAGAACUAACAACUAGGCUAGAUUUCUUUAAAGAACGGAGGUCGCAGCUGAUGGAACAACUCCAUAGUCUUGAUUUAGGGCAUGGAUCUGCUUCUCAGGGUUUUCAGUACAAGCCGCCUUCUCCUUGGAACAGUCCAAGGUAG